rnacentral:rRNA from 1 species
GAAGACCAAGGGUUCCUGUCCAACGUUAAUCGGGGCAGGGUAAGUCGACCCCUAAGGCGAGGCCGAAAGGCGUAGUCGAUGGGAAACGGGUUAAUAUUCCCGUACUUCUUACAAUUGCGAUGGGGGGACGGAGAAGGCUAGGUGGGCCUGGCGACGGUUGUCCAGGUUCAAGUGCGUAGGCUUGAGAGUUAGGUAAAUCCGGCUCUCUUUAAGGCUGAGACACGACGUCGAGCACCUACGGGUGUGAAGUCAUUGAUGCCAUGCUUCCAGGAAAAGCCUCUAAGCUUCAGAUUGUAAGGAAUCGUACCCCAAACCGACACAGGUGGUCGGGUAGAGAAUACCAAGGCGCUUGAGAGAACUCGGGUGAAGGAACUAGGCAAAAUGGUACCGUAACUUCGGGAGAAGGUACGCUCUUGAUGGUGAAGUCCCUUGCGGAUGGAGCUGACGAGAGUCGCAGAUACCAGGUGGCUGCAACUGUUUAUUAAAAACACAGCACUGUGCAAAAUCGUAAGAUGACGUAUACGGUGUGACGCCUGCCCGGUGCCGGAAGGUUAAUUGAUGGGGUUAGACUUC